UACGUAGGGGGCAAGCGUUGUCCGGAAUCAUUGGGCGUAAAGAGCGUGUAGGCGGCCUGGUAAGUCCGCUGUGAAAGUCCAGGGCUCAACCCUGGAAUGCCGGUGGAAACUGUCAGGCUCGAGUCCGGAAGAGGCGAGUGGAAUUCCUGGUGUAGCGGUGAAAUGCGCAGAUAUCAGGAGGAACACCGGUGGCGAAGGCGGGUCUCUGGGCCGAUACUGACGCUGAGAAGCGAAAGCGUGGGGAGCGAACAGG
rnacentral:rRNA from 1 species